GCGGGGGUGUUGUAACGGUAGCCAAGCAUGUUUAAGGAACAUGUGUCGAAAGACGUGGAGGUUCGAUUCCUCUCCCCCGCA
rnacentral:tRNA from 1 species